rnacentral:rRNA from 1 species
AACGAACGCUGGCGGCAGGCUUAACGCACGCAAGUCGAGCGCCCCGCAAGGGGAGCGGCAGACGGGUGAGUAACGCGUGGGAAUCUACCCAUCCCUACGGAAUAGCUCCGGGAAACUGGAAUUAAUACCGUAUACGCCCUACGGGGGAAAGAUCUAUCGGGGAUGGAUGAGCCCGCGUUGGAUUAGCUAGUUGGUGGGGUAAAAGCCUACCAAGGCGACGAUCCAUAGCUGGUCUGAGAGGAUGAUCAGCCACAUUGGGACUGAGACACGGCCCAAACUCCUACGGGAGGCAGCAGUGGGGAAUAUUGGACAAUGGGGGCAACCCUGAUCCAGCCAUGCCGCGUGAGUGAUGAAGGCCUUAGGGUUGUAAAGCUCUUUCACCGGGGAAGAUAAUGACGGUACCCGGAGAAGAAGCCCCGGCUAACUUCGUGCCAGCCGCCGCCGUAA